UUUUUAUGAUGACCUUUACAGUUCUGCUUCUGAAUUAGUUUUGAAGAAAGCUAUACCCACAAAUCUGAGUU